ensembl:lncRNA
UGAGACUGAAGAGGAGGAUGAACAAGAGGACACGUGUUUUUCUCCGGCUUUAGCGACACCGACGAAGGCGAGGAUGAGUCCUAACUACAGCAAUCCACGAUUUUUUCCUGCGUACCUCCCGGACCACUUACCGGACAGUUUGGGAACCGAGGGCCUAAAGAAACUACAGAGCGAAGAGCAGGAGGAACAAGAGGACACGUGGCUUUCUCUGGGUAAACCUAUAUAUCACCUUUAUAUUUCCUCCUUGCAAUCACCAAGUACCUAUAUGUAUAUAAUGUAUUUUAAUGUUUAAAUAUUUGUAAAAAUUGUCAACAUUUUUGGAAAACGGAAUUUAGUUUAUUACCAAAAUGCAGAUAUGUAAAUAUGUACAUGAUCAAAUCUCAUCAAAAUUUGUAAUUGCUGUUGUGAUAUCUGUGACAAUGCACAUGGCCACACAGGGUCUGAAGUCUGUAGCUGUGUGUUUUUCAGGGACACCGACGAAGGCGAGGAAGAGUCUUCACUACAGCAAUCCACGGUAUGGAUAUGAAACAGAAGCUGGCACUUUUACAAUCAGUAGGUCUGGACCCGGCUCCGUCCGGUCUGAUACAAAAGUGUUGUAAUGACUUCACACACAUGUUAUAUAUUGGAGGAC